rnacentral:tRNA from 1 species
AGUCUUAUAAUCAAAAUUUAUGAUUCUAAAUUGCAAGUUUGGAAGUGGGGCACCCCUAAGGCUU